ACUGUGGUGCUGGCCUUUUGGCUAAGAUCAAGUGUAGUAUCUGUUCUUAUCAGUUUAUAAGAUAUGGUUUAUUUACACAUAUAUACAACCUGAGCCUAC
ensembl:snRNA U2 U2 spliceosomal RNA